AACGAACGCUGGCGGCAGGCCUAACACAUGCAAGUCGAACGCCCCGCAAGGGGAGUGGCAGACGGGUGAGUAACGCGUGGGAAUCUACCCAUCCCUACGGGAUAACGCAUGGAAACGUGUGCUAAUACCGUAUACGCCCUACGGGGGAAAGAUUUAUCGGGGAUGGAUGAGCCCGCGUUGGAUUAGCUAGUUGGUGGGGUAAAGGCCUACCAAGGCGACGAUCCAUAGCUGGUCUGAGAGGAUGAUCAGCCACAUUGGGACGGAGACACGGCCCGAACUCCUACGGAAGGCAGCAGUGGGGAAAAUUGGACAAUGGGCGCAAGCCUGAUCCAGCCAGGCCGGGUGAGUGAUGAAGGCCUUAGGGUUGUAAGGCUCUUUCACCGGAGAAGAUAAUGACGGUAUCCGGAGAAGAGGCCCCGGCUAACUCCGU
rnacentral:rRNA from 1 species